UACGUAGGGGGCAAGCGUUGUCCGGAAUCAUUGGGCGUAAAGCGCGUGUAGGCGGCUCGAUAAGUCCGUUCUGAAAGUCCAGGGCUCAACCCUGGGAUGCGGAUGGAUACUGUCGAGCUCGAGUCCGGAAGAGGCGAGUGGAAUUCCUGGUGUAGCGGUGAAAUGCGCAGAUAUCAGGAGGAACACCAAUGGCGAAGGCAGCUCGCUGGGACGGUACUGACGCUGAGGCGCGAAAGCGUGGGGAGCAAACAGG
rnacentral:rRNA from 1 species